rnacentral:other from 1 species
AAGUUCCUGGGAUGUACGACACUCCUGUUAUUUUGAACCUACAUGAUAUAAUAAGGGAUUCCUACAUCCGUAAGAUUAUGUCAGGCCACCAUUUGCAGUGGAAGACAGAGGCUUAUGUGCGGAAACCCACCUAGCUUGGGCUAGGAGUCAAAAUACAGGAAACGGCGUUUCGGGUACAUG